rnacentral:rRNA from 1 species
CGGCAUGCCUUACACAUGCAAGUCGAACGGCAGCACGGGGGCAACCCUGGUGGCGAGUGGCGAACGGGUGAGUAAUACAUCGGAACGUGUCCUGUCGUGGGGGAUAACCAGUCGAAAGACUGGCUAAUACCGCAUGAGAUCGAGAGAUGAAAGCAGGGGACCGCAAGGCCUUGCGCGAUUGGAGCGGCCGAUGUCGGAUUAGCUUGUUGGCGGGGUAAAAGCCCACCAAGGCGACGAUCCGUAGCUGGUUUGAGAGAACGACCAGCCACACUGGGACUGAGACACGGCCCAGACUCCUACGGGAGGCAGCAGUGGGGAAUUUUGGACAAUGGGGGCAACCCUGAUCCAGCCAUGCCGCGUGUGUGAAGAAGGCCUUCGGGUUGUAAAGCACUUUCGGACGGAACGAAAUCGCACGGGUGAAUAUCCCGUGUGGAUGACGGUACUGUAAGAAGAAACACCGGCUAACUACGUGCCAGCAGCCGCGGUAAUACGUAGGGUGCGAGCGUUAAUCGGAAUUACUGGGCGUAAAGCGU